rnacentral:lncRNA from 1 species
ACCAGAUUCAAUCGGGUAUGUUUUUUAUCCAGCCGUGUCAAUGCUGCCCCCUAGCCCUAACAGCUUAAUCUCCUAACAAACAAUUUCAAUAUCAAACAUUUCAAUUGCAUAACAAUUCCAUGUGACUCUGAUAACUAGAGGGUGGAUACUUUCCCAGGUACAGUUUAUGUCGUCCUGUCAUCAAUCAUAAUGUCUCAGAUGACAACUGAAAUGAAAUCCAUACUCAUUGCGUUCCAAAGCAUAUUUCCAACUGGUUUUAUUACCAAAAUAUGGUUCCUUUUCCCCAUUUGUUUGAUGUUCCCAGACUCUCUAUAUUUACAGGCUAUUCGGGUCAGAGAGGGGAAGGGAGAAAGGUAUUUAUGGGGGGGGGGUCAUAAACCUUACCCACAGGCCAACGUCAUGACACUAGGAUAUGCAUAUAAUUGGUUGAUUAUUGAUAAUGUAUGUGAGUAUAACAGAACUGAAAUGGCAGGCAAAACCCCAAGGACAAACCAUCCCCCCCCCAAAAAUUCAGCAUAUCACUGAUUUCAAUGGCUGGCACUUUUAUAAUAGGGCAAAAUCGUCCCCGAUUGCAGUUCCUAGGGUGUCCACUAGAUGUCAACAGUCUUUAGAAAGAGUUUCAGGCUGGUUUUUGGAAAAAUGAAGGAGAAGUUGUAAUUUUUCUAAGUGGCUCCCAUUUUGCUGUAGUGUUUCCAAGUGUUUCCAAGCGCAAGGCUGAGAGAGCGCAUUCUUUUUGUUUAUCUCCCGUAAAGACAAAAACGAUUCUCCGUCUUAAAUUUUAUAGUUUAUUUGCGUAUUAGGGUACCUAAGGUUUGAUUAUAAACAUUGAUUGACUUGUUUGGAUAAGUUUCUUGGUAAUGUUUGGGAUUCAUUUUGUAUGCAUUUUGAAGGAGGGAAACCAGGUGGAUUAUUGACUGAGUUUUUAUGGAUAUAAAGAAGGACUUUAUCGAACAAAAGGACCAUUUGUAAUGUAACUGGGACCUUUUGGAGUGCCAACAGAAGAAGAUCUUCAAAGGGUGCUGUAGGUGUCCUUGGGGCAGGAAGUGUGUCCCCGGUGAUGCGUUGGGCAGACCACAACACCCUCUGGAGAGCCCUGCGGUUGCGGGCGGUGCAGUUGCCAUACCAGGCGGUGAUACAGCCCGACAGGAUGUUCUCAAUUGUGCUUCAGCCAAAUUUCUUCAGCCUCCUGAGGUUGAAGAGGCGCCGUUAAGCCUUCUUAACCACACUGUCUGUGUCGGUGGACCAUUUCAGAUUGUCAGUGAUGUGUAUGCCGAGAAACUUGAAGCUUUUCACAUUCUCCACAGCAGUCUCGUUGGUCCCGUCAAGUUCUUUUGGGUGUCAGGGAAAAUGUAUGGAGUAAACAUACAUAAUUUGCAUUAGGAAUGUAGUGAAGUAAAUAUUGAAAAAAAAUAUGAAUAGUAAAGUACAGAUACCCCAAAAAACAACUUUAGUAGUACUUCAAAGUUUUUUUACCUGAGUACUUGAGAGAGCAUGGAGAGAGUGAGAAAGAAGGGACUGAAAGAAAGAGAGAGGUGGCCAUGGUAGCUGUAUAGAGAACCCGCUUUAACCUCUCUGUGCUAGGUGGGACGUUUGUGUCCCACCCUAGUCAACAGCCAGUGGAAUCCCGUGGCGCGAUAUUCAAAUACCUUAGAA